rnacentral:tRNA from 1 species
AUUUGCAUACGGUUUCGGCCCGUAAGUUAGAGGUGAAAUUCCUUUUUUAUACUCCAGUUUAAACGGAGG